GGAGUCUGGACCGUGUCUCAGUUCCAGUGUGGGGGACCUUCCUCUCAGAACCCCUAGACAUCGUCGCCUUGGUGUGCCGUUACCACACCAACUAGCUAAUGUCUCGCGAGCCCAUCCGUAUCCGACGGAUCUUUCAAACAAAGGUCAUGCGGCCUCUGUUGUUAUGGGAAAUUAGACGGCGUUUCCAUCGCUUAUGUCCCAGAUACGGGCAAGUUGCUCACGCGUUACGCACCCUUUCGCCGGUCGCCGGCAGAGUAUUGCUACUCCCCGCUGCCCCUCGACUUGCAUGUGUUAAGCCUGCCGCUAGCGUUCAUC
rnacentral:rRNA from 1 species